rnacentral:tRNA from 1 species
GCGGGCGUAGCUCAGUUGGUAGAGCGUCAGCUUCCCAAGCUGAGGGUCGCGGGUUCGAAUCCCGUCGCCCGCUCUA